rnacentral:snoRNA from 1 species
GCGAUGAUUAUUUCUUUUUAACCCUGAGUCCUUCGAUGAGGAUCAAAAUCACAACAACAACACUCUAAUUUUUUAAUGAGC